UUUUAUUUGAGAGUUUGAUCCUGGCUCAGGAUGAACGCUGGCGGCGUGCCUAACACAUGCAAGUUGAGCGAUUUACUUCGGUAAAGAGCGGCGGACGGGUGAGUAACGCGUGGGUAACCUACCCUGUACACACGGAUAACAUACCGAAAGGUAUGCUAAUACGGGAUAAUAUAUUUGAGAGGCAUCUCUUGAAUAUCAAAGGUGAGCCAGUACAGGAUGGACCCGCGUCUGAUUAGCUAGUUGGUAAGGUAACGGCUUACCAAGGCGACGAUCAGUAGCCGACCUGAGAGGGUGAUCGGCCACAUUGGAACUGAGACACGGUCCAAACUCCUACGGGAGGCAGCAGGGGGGAAUAUUGCACAAUGGGCGAAAGCCUGAUGCAGCAACGCCGCGUGAGUGAUGAAGGCCUUCGGGUCGUAAAACUCUGUCCUCAAGGAAGAUAAUGACGGUACUUGAGGAGGAAGCCCCGGCUAACUACGUGCCAGCAGCCGCGGU
rnacentral:rRNA from 1 species